rnacentral:rRNA from 1 species
GACGAACGCUGGCGGCGCACUUAACACAUGCAAGUCGAGCGAAGCGGCAGACGGGUGCGUAACACGUGAGUAACCUGCCUUAGACAUUGUGAUAGCCUCGGGAAACCGGGAUUAAUACCAAAUGGUCUAAGAUGGACUCGCGUCCCAUUCGCUAGUGGGUGAGGUAACGGCCCACCCAGGCGACGAUGGGUAGCCGGCCUGAGAGGGUGAACGGCCGUAUUGGAACUGAGAAACGGUCCAAACUCUACGGGAGGCAGCAGGGGGGAAUAUUGCACAAUGGAGGGAACUCUGAUGCAGCGACGCCGCGGGAACGAAGAAGGCUUUCGAGUCGUAAAGUUCUUUUAUAUGGGAAGCGGUACCAUAAGAAAAAGCCCCGGCUAACUACGUGCCAGCAGCCGCGGUAAUAC